UGAGGUGUAGCUUAGUGGUAUAGCGGGUGCUUAUCAUGCAUGAUACCCUGGGUUCAAUCCCAGCACCCUUC
rnacentral:tRNA from 1 species